CCUACGGGAGGCUGCAGUGGGGAAUAUUGCACAAUGGGCGCAAGCCUGAUGCAGCCAUGCCGCGUGUGUGAAGAAGGCCUUCGGGUUGUAAAGCACUUUCAGCGGGGAGGAAGGCGGUGAGGUUAAUAACCUCAUCGAUUGACGUUACCCGCAGAAGAAGCACCGGCUAACUCCGUGCCAGCAGCCGCGGUAAUACGGAGGGUGCAAGCGUUAAUCGGAAUUACUGGGCAUAAAGCGCACGCAGGCGGUCUGUCAAGUCGGAUGUGAAAUCCCCGGGCUCAACCUGGGAACUGCAUUCGAAACUGGCAGGCUAGAGUCUUGUAGAGGGGGGUAGAAUUCCAGGUGUAGCGGUGAAAUGCGUAGAGAUCUGGAGGAAUACCGGUGGCGAAGGCGGCCCCCUGGACAAAGACUGACGCUCAGGUGCGAAAGCGUGGGGAGCAAACAGGAUUAGAUACCCCGGUAGUC
rnacentral:rRNA from 1 species